AGUGAACGCUGGCGGUAGGCCUAACACAUGCAAGUCGAACGGCAGCACAGUAAGAGCUUGCUCUUACGGGUGGCGAGUGGCGGACGGGUGAGGAAUACAUCGGAAUCUACUUUUUCGUGGGGGAUAACGUAGGGAAACUUACGCUCAUACCGCAUACGACCUACGGGUGAAAGCAGGGGAUCUUAGGACCUUGCGCGAUUGAAUGAGCCGAUGUCGGAUUAGCUAGUUGGCUGGGUAAAGGCCCACCAAGGCGCCGAUCCGUAGCUGGUCUGAGAGGAUGAUCAGCCACACUGGAACUGAGACACGGUCCAGACUCCUACGGGAGGCAGCAGUGGGGAAUAUUGGACAAUGGGCGCAAGCCUGAUCCAGCCAUACUGCGUGGGUGAAGAAGGCCUUCGGGUUGUAAAGCCCUUUUGUUGGGAAAGAAAAGCAGCAGGUUAAUACCCCGCUGUUCUGACGGUACCCAAAGAAUAAGCACCGGCUAACUUCGUG
rnacentral:rRNA from 1 species